rfam:Nicotiana attenuata strain TT chromosome 7, whole genome shotgun sequence.
AUACUUACCUAGACGAGGUCAAUGGACGAACGAUAAGACUCAUGGCCUAGGUUGGGGACUUCCAUUGCACUUUGGAGGUGCCCGCCUAUGGUCGACCCAAGUGUCUGAACCUACGUCAUAAUUUGUGGUAGUUGGGGCUUACGUUCGCGGGCCCCUAC